rnacentral:rRNA from 1 species
GAUGAACGCUAGCGGCAGGCUUAAUACAUGCAAGUCGUGGGGCAGCGCAGGUAGCAAUACUGGGCGGCGACCGGCAAACGGGUGCGGAACACGUACACAACCUUCCGAGAAGUGGGGAAUAGCCCAGAGAAAUUUGGAUUAAUACCCCGUAACAUAACGAUGUGGCAUCACAUUGUUAUUAUAGCUUCGGCGCUUCUUGAUGGGUGUGCGGCUGAUUAGAUAGUUGGCGGGGUAACGGCCCACCAAGUCUACGAUCAGUAGCUGAUGUGAGAGCAUGAUCAGCCACACGGGCACUGAGACACGGGCCCGACUCCUACGGGAGGCAGCAGUAAGGAAUAUUGGUCAAUGGACGCAAGUCUGAACCAGCCAUGCCGCGUGAAGGAUUAAGGUCCUCUGGAUUGUAAACUUCUUUUAUCUGGGACGAAAAAGGCGAUUCUUCGUCACUUGACGGUACCAGAUGAAUAAGCACCGGCUAACUCCGUGCCAGCAGCCG